rnacentral:rRNA from 1 species
ACGGAAGGCAGCAGUGGGGAGUAUUGGGCAGUGGGCGCAAGCCUGACCCAGCAACGCCGCGUGAAGGAAGAAGGCUUUCGGGUUGUAAACUUCUUUUAAGGGGGAAGAGCAGAAGACGGUACCCCUAGAAUAAGCCACGGCUAACUACGUGCCAGCAGCCGCGGUAAUACGUAGGUGGCAAGCGUUGUCCGGAUUUACUGGGUGUAAAGGGCGUGUAGCCGGGAGGCAAGUCAGAUGUGAAAUCUAUGGGCUCAACCCAUAAACUGCAUUUGAAACUGUUUCUCUUGAGUGUCGGAGGGGCAAUCGGAAUUCCUUGUGUAGCGGUGAAAUGCGUAGAUAUAAGGAGGAACACCAGUGGCGAAGGCGGAUUGCUGGACGAUAACUGACGGUGAGGCGCGAAAGUGUGGGGAGCAAACAGGAUUAGAUACCCUGGUA